AUUCCUACGGGGGGCAGCAGUGGGGAAUAUUGCACAAUGGGGGAAACCCUGAUGCAGCAACGCCGCGUGAAGGAAGACGGUUUUCGGAUUGUAAACUUCUUUUCUUAGUGAAGAAGCAAGUGACGGUAGCUAAGGAAUAAGCAUCGGCUAACUACGUGCCAGCAGCCGCGGUGAUACGUAGGAUGCGAGCGUUAUCCGGAAUUACUGGGUGUAAAGGGAGCGCAGGCGGGACUGCAAGUUGGAUGGGAAAUACCGCAGCUUAACUGCGGAGCUGCAUCCACAACUGCAGUUCUUUAUGGGAGUAG
rnacentral:rRNA from 1 species